GAGUUUGAUCCUGGCUCAGAAUCAACGCUGGCGGCGUGCCUCAGACAUGCAAGUCGAACGAUUAAAGCUCUCUUCGGAGAGUGUAUAGAGUGGCGCACGGGUGAGUAACACGUAAGUAAUCUACCCUCGAGUGGGGAAUAACGUCCGGAAACGGACGCUAAUACCGCAUAAUGCAGCGGCACCGCAAGGUGACAGUUGUUAAAGAUUUAUCGCUUGAGGAGGAGCUUGCGGCAGAUUAGCUUGUUGGUAAGGUAACGGCUUACCAAGGCUACGAUCUGUGACCGGUCUAAGAGGACGGUCGGUCACACUGACACUGAAUAACGGGUCAGACUCCUACGGGAGGCAGCAGUCGGGAAUUUUGGGCAAUGGGCGAAAGCCUGACCCAGCAACGCCGCGUGAAGGAUGAAGUAUUUCGGUAUGUAAACUUCGAAAGAAUGGGAAGAAUCAAUGACAGUACCAUUUAUAAGGUCCGGCUAACUACGUGCCAGCAGCCGCGGUAAUACGUAGGGACCAAGCGUUGUUCGGAUUUACUGGGCGUAAAGGGCGCGUAGGCGGCCCUACAAGUCACUUGUGAAAUCUCCGGGCUUAACUCGGAACGGCCAAGUGAAACUGUAGAGCUAGAGUGUGGAAGGGGCAAUCGGAAUUCUUGGUGUAGCGGUGAAAUGCGUAGAUAUCAAGAGGAACACCUGAGGUGAAGACGGGUUGCUGGGCCAACACUGACGCUGAGGCGCGAAAGCCAGGGGAGCAAACGGGAUUAGAUACCCCGGUAGUCCUGGCCCUAAACGAUGAAUACUUGGUGUCUGGAGU
rnacentral:rRNA from 1 species